UUACUCUGAUUUCUCUUCAGAUCGUAUAAAUCGUUCACCUUUUACUAAGAUUUCCGUGGGAAGAAUUAAUAAGAGUGUAAACUCAUCUUUUUGAUGCCCUGCUUCCAUGUGGGGCU
rnacentral:snRNA from 1 species